GAAAAAUCAACUUGAGCUUUUUUUUGAAUUGUGAAUUUGCAGCUCUAGAUCCAGCCACCAAAGAGAACCAGUACAAUAACUCUUGCAUCAGGUUAAUUUAAAAUGAUGUCAACAUUACACUUUUUUUUUGUCGACCAAAGAUUUCAUUCAGCCCAAAGGGCAAACAUACAAGGUACAGAGUCCAAGAUCAAAACAAGCCCAUUAAAACAAACAUACAGCACAGUCAACACGUGUAUACACAUGUGUUAACUCAAUAAGCUAAUAAAAGACAUGUGUCUUGAUUUGAGCUUGUCUUCGUUACGCUGCUGUUUCCACCACCACUCUUCGCCGCCGAUCAGAGCAAACAUGUGCUUCACCACCAACGACGAUGACCUCCACAGAAAAAGAUUUGUACCUCGAUGUUAACUUUUACCGAUCUUUACUUCUAAAUAGAAUGUGUCGGAAGAACAAGCCGAAAUAAAGAUGAUGAUGAUGCGUGCUUUUAAAACUUCUUCAGAUUCAGUCUUCAAGGAAGCUUCACCGUUGCUCGGACCCAAUUUAUUGGUCUGAGCUGUUGUCCGUCGUUGCUCCAAGUGUCGAGCAAGAGGAUGACCAGCAAAGAUAUUAAUCCAAAGCAAGAUAGAAACCUGAAACAAGAUUUAAAAGAAAAACCAGCGAUUCUGACAAAGAUAAUCACUAAAGAUCAGAAAAGAAAAGAUCCGGAUUGAACCGGAGAGAAUCCGAACUAAAUCGAAAAUUUAUUAUCCAAAAAAACGGAAAAGGAAAUCCGAACAAAGUUGGAAAAUUAAUAAAACAAAAAAACCUGAGAAAAUCCGGCUAAGAUACCGACUUCGAUGAGAAGUCGCUGAUAGAUAUGACUUUUUGUGGUCUCAGGGCUAUCAAUCCCCUUGUCAAUGUAGC
rnacentral:lncRNA from 1 species